CCUGGGCUCCGGCUCUUCGCCCAGGGGCACGUCCUGCUGCUGUUCAUGCCCUCCCUCGUCUCGGCCCCCUGCUUCCUCCUCCUCUUCCAGCUGCUGCUGCAAAGUCUGGGGGUUGAGGGGCCCGCUACCAUAAACACUAUUAAUCACUGCUGCAGGGAACACGCUGGAUCCAGGCACCAAAAGAAGACAUUGUUUAUGAGUUCUCUGGAAGCCAUGGAAGAAGAGCCCAAAAGUUUUAAAGGUUAAGGAUUUUAGUCCUUACUUCAUAUAUACAUCCCUGGGCAGCACCAGAUGGGAGUAGAGGAUACCCCACCAGGGCCUGUGACAUGGAGAGAUUCCAGCUUCUCCGGGGCUUUAAAAGGUCAACUCCACUGCCUCUCCCUCCUUCAGGGCCUGGAAACCCUUCCUGAGCGGCUGACUGUGGAACCCAAAGACAUCCAGUUGAGGGCCUUGUGUGGAUCUCCACUUGAGAGCCUUGAGUGAAUCUCGAGCUGUUGGUCAUGGUGAGGAAGCCAAGCCUGCGCACACGGUGACCACAUACAGAUGUUUGCAGCAUCUGCGGCUGUGACUCCUCUGCGCCAGGUCCUCCUCCUCCAGGGCUUUCUCCCUGCGCCUUGGCACGGCCACCUGCAAACCACUUGCUGGACACAGAGCACAUGGUAAGUGGCUGAGCCUGCGGUCCCGGGCCCUCGAGCGGGCGGCUGCUGGCCCUUGAGAAGGCUACCGGCAAAGGAUGGCAAGAAAAGUGGCUGCUGCAGCUUCUCCAGCACCCCCACGUGGUGCAGACCCUCAGCAUCUGCUUUCUGAGGGCGGGAGGUGCAUGGGAAGAAUCCCAGGAACAACUGUUAGAG